UCUUCAUUGCACACACUCUCUCACCUAGCUGACUGGCGAGGGAGUGUGUGAAAUGAAGAGA
rfam:Pristionchus pacificus strain PS312 contig4618, whole genome shotgun sequence.